UACAGAGGUCUCAAGCGUUGUUCGGAUUCAUUGGGCGUAAAGGGUGCGUAGGUGGCGUUGUAAGUCGGGUGUGAAAUUUCGGAGCUUAACUCCGAAACUGCAUUCGAUACUGCGGUGCUUGAGGACUGGAGAGGAGACUGGAAUUCAUGGUGUAGCAGUGAAAUGCGUAGAGAUCAUGAGGAAGACCAGUGGCGAAGGCGGGUCUCUGGACAGUUCCUGACACUGAGGCACGAAGGCCAGGGGAGCAAACGGG
rnacentral:rRNA from 1 species